GGAGGGAGUCCCUCCCUCUAAAACCACUCUGAGUGGAGAACAGCAUUUUAAACAAAAACAUUUAUCUGAGAAAAGGAGUCAUCAGAGAGAAGAAUCUGACGACUUUAAACCUGAACCCAGCUGUGUGUCUAUGAAGAGUGAUCGAUCAAAGAAUGCCAUCAUUACUUUUAAAAGACAAGAACCCACAACUGUGAAGAGGAAGCAGCAGAAACCUGAACCCAGCUGUGUGUCUAUGAAGAGUGAUCGAUCAAAGAAUGCCAUCAUUACUUUUAAAAGACAAGAACCUUCAACUGUAAAAAAGUAAAGAAGUAGUAACUGUCCUCUGGAGUUUAUAUGUGAAAUACUAUGUUCAUCUUGAAGCUUCAGACUUUGUUGAACUUGUUGAAUGUUGAUAAUUAGUAAAUUUCUCUCAAUAAAAGAGAAAUAAUACAAUAACAAUAUGUCUCUCCUGAACUAACUGUGGAA